UACGAAGGGGGCUAGCGUUGCUCGGAAUCACUGGGCGUAAAGCGCACGUAGGCGGCUUUCUAAGUCAGGGGUGAAAUCCUGGAGCUCAACUCCAGAACUGCCUUUGAUACUGGAGAGCUUGAGUCCGGGAGAGGUGAGUGGAACUCCGAGUGUAGAGGUGAAAUUCGGAGAUAUUCGGAAGAACACCAGUGGCGAAGGCGGCUCACUGGCCCGGUACUGACGCUGAGGUGCGAAAGCGUGGGGAGCAAACAGG
rnacentral:rRNA from 1 species